UACGAAGGGUGCAAGCGUUACUCGGAAUUACUGGGCGUAAAGCGUGCGUAGGUGGUUUGUUAAGUCUGUUGUGAAAGCCCCGGGCUCAACCUGGGAAUGGCGAUGGAUACUGGACAGCUAGAGUGUGUCAGAGGAUGGUGGAAUUCCGAGUGUAGAGGUGAAAUUUCGUAGAUAUUCGCAAGAACACCAGUGGCGAAGGCGGCUCACUGGCCCGGUACUGACGCUGAGGUG
rnacentral:rRNA from 1 species